rnacentral:rRNA from 1 species
AUGGCUUUCCCUUCGGCUCCAGGGGCAGCCUCGUCCCACACCUCCUCCUCUGACACAGUGACAUUCGCAGGCCCGCACAUCAACAAAAAGGAGACCCUCAAGGCGCACGUGUUUAAUACAGAUGUACCGGGGCUAAAGAAGGAGAAGGUCAAGGACGACAAUGUCCUCCAGAUUAGGGGCGAGCGAAGCAAGGAGAAGGAGGAGGAGAAGAUGGACACGUGGCACCAUGUGGAGAAUAGAAUUCAUCUCCAGCAUUUUACUCAAUUUUACCCAAUUCCAUGA